GACGAACGCUGGCGGCGUGCCUAAUACAUGCAAGUUGAGCGAUGAAGAUUGGUGCUUGCACCAAUUUGAAGAGCAGCGAACGGGUGAGUAACGCGUGGGGAAUCUGCCUUUGAGCGGGGGACAACAUUUGGAAACGAACGCUAAUACCGCAUAACAACUUUAAACAUAAGUUUUAAGUUUGAAAGAUGCAAUUGCAUCACUCAAAGAUGAUCCCGCGUUGUAUUAGCUAGUUGGUGAGGUAAAGGCUCACCAAGGCGAUGAUACAUAGCCGACCUGAGAGGGGGAUGGGCCACAUGGGGACUGGAACACGCCCCAACCUCCUAAGGGAGGCAGAGGAAGGGAAUCUUCGGCAAUGGAGGAAAGUUUGACCGAGCAACGCCGGGGGGGUGAAGAAGGUUUUGGGAUCGUAAAACUUUGUUGGUAGAGAAAAACGUUGGGGGGAGGGGAAAGCCAAUCAAGGGACGGUAACUACCCAGAAAGGGACGGCUAACUACGU
rnacentral:rRNA from 1 species